CCUUCCCCCCCCACGAGGCGCGAAUUUCUUCCAUUUUGAAAGCUGUAUCUCCUGCUGUCGGCUUCCCAACGCGCUGUUUGAAAAGUUACAUGCUGACUUCCAACGCAUUACAACCAUCCCACUGGAAUCUACCUUCAUGACACAGUUGGAGAGCCAUUUAGCCCAACUGACGUCUAUCUUCCAGACGAAGGGUGGAGUUGCUGGCCAGAAACUAGCUAAACAUCUAAAGAUCUUGCAAGAGGAGACAAGUGAUCUUAAAUCCUUAUGCUGCGUUUUUCACCGGGCGGCGCAAAAAAUUCGCCAGAGUUGAAAUAUUUGAACUUUGCGAAUAUUUGCAACGCAGCAUAAAGUCUCUUUGCAUCCACCUGGGUGAGGAUGAGGGCCGGCUUGUUCGGGAGUAUAUGGAUAUCGAAGGAGACGACAUCCUGAGACCUGAACAAGCGGAGCAUGAACACAUGUCAUCAACAAGGAGGAGAAACGGGACGUUGGUGACGUUCACGGACUAAUCAUCCUCCAACUGGAUCUGUGGCCCCAGCUUGUGCAAAGAUUGUGGGAGUCAUCUACGCUCUGAACAUGGCUCAAAGAGCUAAGAUACUAUGAAUUCAUUCACAAAGGGAUCUUUCUAAUGGUGAACAUCUUUCCCCUCAAAUCCUCGGCCUAAAGAACAAAGAACAACAUGAAUGCUGGACUGAAGGAACUCUUCGGCUGCUCUUGUAAACUGGUGCCAUUAAAGCAAAAGAAGAGUACGAGACGACGUAAUUAAAAAAGCACCAGUCGAACAUCCCACUGGGGAAACGACGUGGCACACUGAAAAUAUGAUGUUUGUUUCAUUUAUUCAGUUUAUUUUUUAUAACCCAAUAUCACAAAUUACCAAUUUGCCUCCGAGGGCUUUACCAUCUGUACACAUACAACAUUUAUUGAUGUGACGCUCUCGGUUAUAUAUUUUACAUUCAGAUGUGGAAAAGAAUGUGGAAAUAUGUAAUUUCAUGUUUUUUUUUAUUUGCUAUGAAAAGCACUGUAAGAAGUUUUUAUGCUACACUGGAUGUUGCUAUUACAUUGUUUCAAUAAGAUUAAGUAAGA